rnacentral:rRNA from 1 species
CCACUCCUACGGGAGGCAGCAGUGGGGGAUAUUGCACAAUGGGGGAAACCCUGAUGCAGCGACGCCGCGUGUGGAAAGACGGUCCUCUGGAUUGUAAACCACUGUCCCCAGGGACGAAGAUGACGGUACCUAGGGAGGAAGCUCCGGCUAACUACGUGCCAGCAGCCGCGGUAAUACGUAGGGAGCGAGCGUUGUCCGGAAUUACUGGGUGUAAGGGGAGCGUAGGCGGGACUGCAAG